GCUUUCUUAGUAUACAAAGUACAUAUGCCUUCCAAGCAAAAAGAUUAAGACAUUCUUAAAGAAAGUA
rnacentral:tRNA from 1 species